UCCGGAUUGAAAAGUGAGCGAUAUGUUCCAGUUCUAACCUCAUCUGUGUAAGCCGCAAAAUCGGAUUAAUAUUGGAGCAUAUACCGAUGGUUCCAAAUCGACGAAGAUUGCUCUCGGAACAUGUUUAGCAGCUCCUCUAAAUAAAAAUGUAUCGUCUGCCAAUCCAGGGGAUCGGUCUUCUGGUAUCUGUCCAUCCGCUUCAUCAUUUCCGCCGUAUUUUUAUUUAAAAUGUUUAGGCUACGUCACUUACCACGCGUUCCCGAUUUGGACACCAGCCUGGACAGCGCGUUAUAGCAGUUAUAGGAAUUAAGGUUAGUAAUUAAAAUGUAUUCCGAUUUAUUUUGACAUAAACGUUACCUGUCCGAUAUGAAUGGAAAUGCAUUCACGUUGUGAAUAGACCUAAUUAAAAUCAUUUUAGAGCAACAAGAAAAAACAAAUGUCAUUUUUUUUAAAUCAAGGCAAUAUUAACUAAAAAAAAUUUUCCACCAUGGCUUUUAAUUUAAUUUGAAAAGCUUAUGAUACCAU